ACACAUGCAAGUCGAACGGUAACUAUAUCUUGCUUGCAAGAUGAUGACGAGUGGCGAACGGGUGCGUAACGCGUAUGCAACCUACCUUAAACUGGGGGAUAGCCAGAAGAAAUUCUGAUUAAUACCCCAUAUUAUAUAUUCUUCGCAUGUUGAAUAUAUCAAAGCUUUGGCGGUUUAAGAUGGGCAUGCGUGACAUUAGCUAGUUGGUAAGGUAACGGCUUACCAAGGCAACGAUGUCUAGGGGGUCUGAGAAGAUUAUCCCCCACACUGGUACUGAGACACGGACCAGACUCCUACGGGAGGCAGCAGUGAGGAAUAUUGGACAAUGGGCGAAAGCCUGAUCCAGCCAUGCCGCGUGCAGGAAGAAUGCCCUACGGGUUGUAAACUGCUUUUAUAUAGGAAUAAACCCCUCUACGUGUAGAGGGCUGAAGGUACUAUACGAAUAAGGAUCGGCUAACUCCGUGCCAGCAGCCGCGGUAAUACGGAGGAUCCAAGCGUUAUCCGGAUUUAUUGGGUUUAAAGGGUGCGUAGGCGGGGCAAUAAGUCAGUGGUGAAAUCUUCCAGCUUAACUGGGAAACUGCCAUUGAUACUGUUGUUCUUGAGUUUGGUUGAAGUAGGCGGAAUGAGGCAUGUAGCGGUGAAAUGCAUAGAUACGCCUCAGAACACCGAUUGCGAAGGCAGCUUACUAAGCCAAUACUGACGCUGAGGCACGAAGGCGUGGGUAGCGAACAGGAUUAGAUACCCUGGUAGUCCACGCUGUAAACGAUGAUUACUCGCUG
rnacentral:rRNA from 1 species